AACGAACGCUGGCGGCAUGCCUAACACAUGCAAGUCGAACGAGACCUUCGGGUCUAGUGGCGCACGGGUGCGUAACGCGUGGGAACCUGCCCUUAGGUUCGGAAUAACUCCCCGAAAGGGGUGCUAAUACCGGAUAAUGUCUUCGGACCAAAGAUUUAUCGCCUUUGGAUGGGCCCGCGUUGGAUUAGCUAGUUGGUAGGGUAAAAGCCUACCAAGGCGACGAUGCAUAGCUGGUCUGAGAGGAUGAUCAGCCACACUGGGACUGAGACACGGCCCAGACUCCUACGGGAGGCAGCAGUGGGGAAUAUUGGACAAUGGGCGAAAGCCUGAUCCGGCAAUGCCGCGUGAGUGAUGAAGGGCUUAGGGUUGUAAAGCUCUUUUACCCGGGAUGAUAAUGACAGUACCGGGAGAAUAAGCUCCGGCUAACUCCGUG
rnacentral:rRNA from 1 species